AAAAAAAAAAGAAAAAAAAAACCCUGAAACUGCUUCGGCCUCUCUUCACCCCCACGAUCUCAAUAUCUCCUUCCACAUCUCAUUAGUCUCCACUUCUCCCUUCUUUUCAACAAUCGAAAAAAUCAGUAUUUCCUUCGUUUCAAAUCGUUUCUUUGUCCCUUUUCUUCAAAUUUCUGUUUCAGUUUUAUUCAAUUGCUGCAUUAAUGAUUUUUACUAUGUAAUCUGUUUUCUUCUUCAGAGUUAAAUUUAUCGGAUUGCUCUUCUUCUACUUUCCUUCUCUCGAUGUUUUGAUUCUAAUAAGUGUUGCUGUCUCGAAUUUAUUGAUUUUUUACGUGCUAAAUAUUGUUAAAUUUUGAUUUCGUUUUGGGUGAUUAAGUUGAUUUUAUGUUCUUGAUAGAUUUGUUGACGAGAGAAUACAAGUCUACAAUCCCGAUCAGAAAUUCAGUAUUUCCCACUUACAGUGCCUCUGGCCUGGAGAAGAAAACUAAAUGGAACUACAACAAGUACUCUCGAAAAAUAGCAUCUUAACAAAAUCAGUCUCAAGCCAAGUUUUUGUUUGUUAUGCUUCGGUCAUCGGUGGAACAAUAGAGGAAACGGAGAAGCAUAAUUAGACAAAUAAGCAGAGAUGAAGACAAAAUUUACAAUGGAAAAAAUGUUGGGAAAUUAAGCAUAACUACUACAUAUUGUUUAAAUAUUGGGUUUUAAUCUGCAUUGUCGCACUUAUAUUCCAUAACCGAUAGGAACUUCCAGACUUCUAAUGGCAAUAUUUGAUCCACUAUUGAUUUAAAAGCA